GAUCUCAAAUCAGGUAGGGAUACCCGCUGAACUUAAGCAUAUCAAUAAGCGGAGGAAAAGCAUAUCAAUAAGCGGAGGAAAAGAAACCAACAGGGAUUGCNUUAGUAACGGCGAGUGAAGCGGCAAAAGCUCAGAUUUGAAAUCUGGUGUCAAAUUGAUACCCGAGUUGUAAUCUGUAGAGGAGUUUUUCGGAGUAUGGCUUUGGUUAAAGUUCCUUGGAAAAGGGCAUCAUAGAGGGUGAGAAUCCUGUUUAUGACCAGUGUCUUGUCUCCAUUAUGAAUCUCCUUCAAUGAGUCGAGUUGUUUGGGAAUGCAGCUCUAAAUGGGUGGUAAAUUCCAUCUAAAGCUAAAUAUUGGCAAGAGACCGAUAGCGCACAAGUAGAGUGAUCGAAAGAUGAAAAGAACUCUGAACAGAGAGUUAAAGAGUACGUGAAAUUGUUGAAAGGGAAGCACUUGUGACCAGACAAAUUUACAGUUAAUCAGCCAUCAAUUUUUGGUGGUGCACUUAGUUGUAGAUGGGUCAGCAUCAGUUAUAGUAGUGGAACAAAGAUCAAAGGAAUGUAGCUCCUCUUUGAGGAGUGUUAUAGCCUUUGGUUCAAUACCGCUGGCCAUGACUGAGGAUAGCACUUCCAGUAAGGAUGCUGACAUAAUGGUCAUAAGUGACCCGUCUUGAAACACGGACCAAGGAGUCUAACAUCUAUGCGAGUGUUUGGGUUCAAGCCCUUAUGCAAAAUGAAAGUGAAUGGAGGUGGAAACCAUUUGGUGCACCAUCGACCGAUCCUGAAGUUUUCUGAUGGAUUUGAGUAGGAGCAUAGCUGUUGGGACCCGAAAGAUGGUGAACUAUGCCUGAAUAGGGUGAAGCCAGAGGAAACUCUGGUGGAGGCUNGCAGCGGUUCUGACGUGCAANUCGAUCGUCAANUNCGGGUAUAUCGCAGCGGUUCUGACGUGCAAAUCNAUCGUCAAAU
rnacentral:rRNA from 1 species